GGGGAUGACGUCAAAUCAUCAUGCCCCUUAUGACCUGGGCUACAAACGUGAUACAAUGGCUGAAACAGAGGGAGGCGAAGGGGUGACCUGGAGCGAAACCCAGAAAAACAGUCUCAGUUCGGAUUGAAGUCUGCAACUCGACUUCAUGAAGUCGGAAUCGCUAGUAAUCGCGGAUCAGAACGCCGCGGUGAAUACGUUCUCGGGGUUU
rnacentral:rRNA from 1 species